AAACAACGAAGAGAGCAGAAAUCUCACCGCCGCCUCAGCCAUUUCUAAAGCUUGGUACAAGGAACGGUAAUCCUCCAGGCAAUCGAGUUGCGAGGACGCUGACAAUGGGGAGCAGGAGAAGAGAUGCUGAGGCGGAGCUCAACCUGCCGCCGGGAUUCCGGUUCCACCCGACCGACGAGGAGCUCGUCGUUCAUUACCUCUGCAAGAAGGUGGCCUGCCAGCGCCUGCCCGUGCCCAUCAUCGCCG
rnacentral:lncRNA from 1 species